AAAAUGUUUUCUUUAAUACCAAACAAACCCUCUUUGUCACUUCCGUUUCUUUGAACCUCAGUGGAGUCCGUAAAUUGACCUUAAUAAUGACAUAAGAUUUCCCACUUGUAAGAACAGCCUAAAGUUGGUUUCAUCCUCCAAUUAGUAACUUUGUGCUCGUGUGAGGACAGGAUUUAGUCUUCAGUCAAACAGUUGCUUUUAUGCAGCAUCUCACAACCAUUAUGCAACUGUUGGCCGCCUAGAUUUUCCAAUUGACCCUAUUUUCCUGCACAAAGAAAUGGGCUAAACUGAUAUUAAUCGAAAUGACUUAUUUUUAGCUGUAUAUGAUGCUUGAGCUGAUUACUUGAUAUUAACAUGAAUGAUUCCAGAUACUUGGCACCAGAGUAUGCAUCUAGUGGAAAAUUAACGGAGAAAUCUGAUGUUUACUCAUUUGGCGUUGUGCUUUUGGAGCUUAUUACGGGGCGGAAACCUGUUGACCAAUCUCAGCCCUUAGGUGAUGAAAGCCUGGUUGAAUGGGUAAGUUCACAUUUUUAUUUUUUGUUAAUUUCCUGCAAUGAUUAACGUUGAUGCUGACUUAAAGAGAAACUAAAUAUUGAAACCUGGGCCCAGCAUGGAGAGUCGAAGGAAAUCUUUUAUUUUGAGGGGGGGGGGGGGGACCAUUNNNNNNNNNNNNNNNNNNNNNNNNNNNNNNNNNNNNNNNNAAAUCUUUUUUUUUGGGGGGGGGGGGGGGUGACCAUUAUGGAGAAUCAAAGGAGAUAGUUCAUUUCAUUUGAGUUUUUUGCAUAAACAUAAUAUUUCGUGUUUCAUGGAUAGUUGGCUGGAGUGAUAUGUAAUAAAAUGAAUUUGAUUUAUUAAAAAGAUGUAGAGGAGUGAUUUAGGAAUAGCACAACUAGGACUGUAAAAAAAAAAGUGCUAAAACACUAACAUAAUUGAGACUAGUAUAAACUGACUUGGAAAUGAUGUCUAGUACAAGUGGCAAGGUCAAGAUCACCUAACUGCAAGCUUGUGAUUUCACCUUUUCUUGGAAGCGAAGCGGGUAGCAUCAGAAUAUUCCUACUUCUUUCCACUUAGUUAGAUUACCAGGUUUAUCUGGCAGUGGUUUACACUCAACAUUUAAUUUUCUGUUAGUACUGCUAAUUGUGUAGCUGUGAAGUCUAAUUUCGUUUCUACUUAAUUUACUUUCUAAGUUCCAUCACCCUGGGAGAAGAUGACAAUAAAAUCCUCGCUUUUCAUUAGCAAAAACAAAACAUAAAGUUCAAGCUAUGUGAUUGCGCCAAGUACUAUUUACCUUUUUAGUUUAGAAAUAUGCGACCUCCACACUUUCUGGUUGCGCUUCUUGUUCUUUUGAGAUUAUACUAAAUUAAGUUGCAAGAAGAUUAUUUAAACUAACAAGUUCAUAACAAAACCGGUUGAAGUUAAUAAAAGAAAAGGACAUGGUAGUUCUUUAUCAGCAAAUAAAAGAAAAGAACAUGAAAGAAAAGAUAAGGCACCCCAUUCCCAUGCGGCCCCACCCAUUCCGGACCACGUGCCAACUUUACUUAACCAUUCUCUUUGAUCCCUUACUUUAAACUAAGAGGAUAAAAUGUAGUAACCCAUGCCUUUUUAUUCCCUGUACCCCUAAAUACCGUUAGACAGAAUAUGAGGAAGGGGUGAUACUGCUCUUAUCCUUGUCUGACUAAUAAUAUCACUAUUCGCUCUAAGGAUGGAACUGUUGAAAGUUUGUCCUGUUUGCUUAUUCAUUAUUCUCAGUCACUUGGGUGUGUCUUCGCUAAGUGAAAGUUGAGAAUAUUACCUUCUAUCUUGUAGGCUCGACCUUUGCUUACUCAAGCACUUGAGACUGAAAAUUUUG
rnacentral:lncRNA from 1 species